GAAGAUCGGAGAUCAAAUUAGAGCUGCUAACUCUUUAUUUUAAUAGUUAAAAUCUAUUAGUUCUUCU
rnacentral:tRNA from 1 species